GUACACGCUGUGACUAGCAUAUCAAUAAGCGGAGGAAAAGAAACUAACAAGGAUUCCCCUAGUAACGGCGAGUGAAGCGGGAAGAGCUCAAAUUUGAAAUCUUAAAGGGUUUCCCUUUACGAAUUGUAGUUUAAAGAAGUGUUUUCUGUUAGAGUUUGAGUAGCAAAAGUUCCUUGGAAUAGGACAUCAUAGAGGGUGAGAAUCCCGUAUUUGGUACCUUUACUUUCAGCUUUGUGAUACACUUUCAAAGAGUCGGAUUGUUUGGGAAUGCAGUCCAAAAUGGGUGGUAAAUUUCAUCUAAAGCUAAAUAUUGGCGAGAGGACCGAUAGCGAACAAGUACCGUGAGGGAAAGAUGAAAAGAACUUUGAAAAGAGAGUUAAACAGUACGUGAAAUUGUCAAAAGGGAAGCGUUUGACACCAGUGUUGUUUUUCUGAAAAUCAAUUAAAGAACUGUUUAUGCUAAGUUGUUUAGACUUUAUCAGCUAUCUGUUUAGUUUUGAGCUUUUCUUUAAUGCACUUUUCAGUUAACAAGUCAACAUCAAUUUCUUUUGCUGUAAAAAAGCUUGAGGAAGGUGGCUUGAGAUUCGUCUUAAGUGUUUAUAGCCUCUUGCCUAUGCAGUCGGAGAGAUUGAGGUCUGCAGCGUAGAUCCUUCGGGGCUAAAUGCAUUUGUGCUAAGUUAUAGCAUUUUAUAGACAACUUGUUGACUAUGAUUUGUCUUGUAGCUUACUCGCUUCAUGUUAUUUUACCUACGCUUAGGAUGUUGACUGAUAUGUAGUCGUA
rnacentral:rRNA from 1 species